UACGUAGGGGGCAAGCGUUGUCCGGAAUCAUUGGGCGUAAAGCGCGUGUAGGCGGCCCGAUAAGUCCGCUGUGAAAGUCCAGGGCUCAACCUCGGGCCUGCAGUCGAUACGGGCAAACUAGAGUACUGCAGGGGAGACUGGAAUUCCUGGUGUAGCGGUGAAAUGCGCAGAUAUCAGGAGGAACACCGGUGGCGAAGGCGGGUCUCUGGGCAGUAACUGACGCUGAGGAGCGAAAGCGUGGGGAGCGAACAGG
rnacentral:rRNA from 1 species